AACGCAUUAAAAGAACCUAUAUCUCAUAAAAUCAUAAACAAACGAUAUAGUGAUCCAAGACAUGUGUCGAUUCCAAAAGUUGCGGUGUUAGCAUUCAUUUCGUAAUCGGUAAUCCCCUGUCAUUUUUGGCCAAUUUCUCUUGCCUCUAUCGAUGUAAAACCAGGCGGUGUAUAAUCCCUCCAACCUAUAAAUUAUCUCCCAUAAAAUGUUUCCUUCUCAAUUUUCAUAAUUUCAUCCUUUUGUUCAUAGAAUAUCCAAGAUGUUGAUGGGUCUUAUGAGUAUACAAUCCUUAUUGGAUUUAAUUGUAGCAGGCAUUUCAUUGAUGAUUGGGUUUGGGAUUUUCGCCUUCAUUGCGUCUGUACUUUGUUCUGCUGCCUUUUUUCAACACGCCCAAUAUGUUUGUGCUUAGUUUCGUCAAUGCCCGCCGUUUCUAAAUUAGCAAACGUCAUGGGCAACUUGAACUUCCAAGUGCACAUACAUUACAAGGUGGGUGGCAAAAAUGGAGAGCAGAAUAUUGAGGUUAACGUACGCUUCUCGUCUAAUGAUCAUACUCCUCUCAGCUCAGGGUCUUAGGAUGACUAAUGGCAAAUCAUACCUUCAGGAAUGUUUAGCCAUUUGGGUUAAUAUAUGCCAUGUAGUGGAAGUAUUUCCUGUAAAAUUACGUUAUUUGGUUUUAGGCUAAAAAUAAGUUAAUGCCUUAAGAGGUUAGGGGUUCAAAUCCUUCUACUUACUUUUUUUUAAUAAAAUAUUCUCCUAACAUUUUUUUUGCAACACACAUAAUGUACUUACUUUAUGCUAAUUAAAUAUUCACAAAUUCUUACUUGAUACCGUCUUUUGUAAAGACGUCUCAAGUUUGGGCCGGAUUAAUUUUUAAUUUAAAAAAAAAAUAAUUAAACUUUCUAAACACGUGCGUAUAGUUGGGUAUAUAGUGAUCUGUGUUUGGGUUAUAACAUUACUUAGUUGGGUAUAUAAUGGUUUGUAUUUGGGGUUAUAAUAUUAUGUAUUUGGGGUUAUAGUAUUAUAUAUUUGGGUAUAUAAUAAUCUAUGUUUAGUGUUAUAACAUAUAGUGAGUAGAUAAUGGUUUGUGUUUGGAAUUAUAACAUUAUAUAUUCGAGUAUAUAAUGAUCUGUGUUUGGGGUUAUAGUAUUAUGUAUCUGGGGGUUUUAAAAUUAUAUAGUUGGGUAUAUAAUGGUCUGUAUUUAAGGGUAUAAUAUUUUUAUAAUACUAAAUAUAUUAUGUUAUAACCCCAAAUAAAUAUUGUUAUAACCCUAAAUAUAUUAUGUGACUUUUCACAUUCCACUUUAAACACGCACGUCAUUUUUUUUUUUUAAACUAACAUGAAUUAGAUUUGGUUUGUGCUUUUGAAAGCCGUCUUUACAAAAGACUCUCAAGAGAGCACUUGUUAAAUAUCUAGUGGUCUUUCUGGAGUAAGGAGACUAUUUAGUUGCCUUCUGCUUUAUGAUUAUGGUUUGUUGUCUUUUAUUCCGUUUUAGAGUUUGAUCAUAAUUUCUAUGAGGGGAUAUCUCCGAUAUGAUGAUGAUAGUAGCACCUAAUGUAUUAAAUGGUUUUAAACCAUUUUACUCAACAAUUUUCACUUUUUAUUAAAUUUUUUAUUUAAAGGAAAUAUUUCACUCAAAUGGUUUUUUACUUGCGGUUUAUAUCACUUUUAUGAAGUUUUAUAAUGAAAUGUAAUGUUUGGACAACAAAAGAUAUUUAAACUAUUCACUUUAUUUAAGAUUAAUAAAUAUUACCAAUAAGUUUUUUGCAAUGUACCUAAAUCCUAAUUAAUGAACUUCACCAUUCUAAACAUACUUGCCGAUUUUAACUUUUUAUCGAAAAAUAUUGAUGAAAGAUGAUAUUUAGAUGACUUUUAUCACUUUUUAUCAAAAUUCUUUUGAAAAGUAAUUUUGUAUGGCAUUAUUUAUAUAAACAAUUCAAGCCCUUGAAAAUAUAAUAUUGUUCAAUCUUGAAUUGAUGUUUGCUAAUUCUGGUUCAACUUUCAAGGUCAAAUAUUCAAACAAUGUUGAGGUUUUUAAUGUAUUUUUAUGGUUCGUUUCAACUUCAACAAUGACAGUUAGUGCCCGCUUUUAUUAAUUUUUUUGACUUAAAUUUACAUUAUUUUAUACUCCUAUAAAGCAUUACAACUAUUAAUAACACAUUCAAAAUUAAAUUUAACACAAACAUAUGUAAAAUUCU